UACCAGCACCCCGAGUUGUCGGGACGAUUAUUGGGCCUAAAGCAUCCGUAGCCGGUUCUACAAGUCUUCCGUUAAAUCCACCUGCUUAACAGAUGGGCUGCGGAGGAUACUAUAGAGCUAGGAGGCGGGAGAGGCAAGCGGUACUUAGUGGGUAGGGGUAAAAUCCGUUGAUCCAUUGAAGACCACCAGUGGCGAAGGCGGCUUGCCAGAACGCACUCGACGGUGAGGGAUGAAAGCUGGGGGAGCAAACCGG
rnacentral:rRNA from 1 species